GAGAGAGAGAGAGAGAGAGAGAGAGAGAGAGAGAGAGAGAGAGAGAGAGAGAAUUAAAGAUAGUGUCAUGUGUUUCCUGGGGGUUUGCUGCCCACAAUUACAAUGUGUUUAUGUUAAUGAAUUAAGGGACGAGUCGUGCGUUUCAGUGUUUUACGACCCCUACCAAUGUGUACAUUUGUGGUUUAAGUGAAUCUUUGUUUCUGAAAUUACUUUUGUGGCAAAGAGCACGAUGGCAUGGAAAGAGUAUACAAGAGUAAUCGGGGUGAUCUAAUGCUUAGGAGUUCUACAGUACUUCGACUUGGGAAGAUUCAACAAUACCCUCAGAGAGAGAGGCAUUAUCUAAGUUUCAUCACAAGAUUCAGACGUGGAUAAAUUUCAACAUGGAAGGAAAAGUGAGGCGCUAACUUAUUUUGACCCAGGUACAGCUUAUUUGAAGCAAAGAAAAACCCCAACAAGGGAACUACUGAAACAACACCAUGAACACUCCUAGAUUUCACCUGUUUUUAAUAAGGAUAAUGAAUUGUUGCAAUUCCUGCUUGAGCUUUGAAAGAUCAAGAGCAGCGUUAUCAACAUGGCCUUGAGAACACAAGGUAAGCUUGUGCUACUGCUUAGAAAUGUGCUGUAGAUAGUCAUGUAUCAAUUAUGCUUGAGAAAUAAGCUGACAUCAGAAGUCCACAUGACUUGUCUCCAUGUUUCAAAGUUGUGCUAUUUGUAUGUGAUAAGUUAUUAAAGGGAUCAUGACAUGAUUUUUUAAAAAUCUUCCCUGAGGUGUAAUUGUAAUAUUAGUAAAGUUUUUUUUGGACAAAAAACAUACAAAAUGUAGUAAUUUAUAACUUGUUUCUAUGCUUUGUCUGAUCCUCUGACUGAAAUGACAGUUUUUUUGUCUUUUACUGUUAAGACAUCAAUGUAACCACCCAUGGCCACGGAUCACGUGCACUCUACUGUCUUCACUCCUAUUGGUAGUCGCUACACCAAGUCUUGCUGUAGGGUCAGUCAUAUACAAAUGUAUUUGCCCGUGUGAUGUCACAAAUCCUGCCACAUCCAAAUGAGCCAUUUUUGGAUAAAUGCUCUUUAUGUACUGAAAAGAUGAAUUAAGCUAUGUAACCUGCAGGACGUUUUAAUGGUACAAUGACCUCCUAUAUGUUAAAAGAUUAAGGACAAUUUUAUUUUAGAUUUAGAUUUCUUAUGCCAUGACCCCUUUUAGGUUUGACUUAAAUAUGAACAAAUAAAUUAAAUGUCUACGUUCAUGCCAUUGAUAAAAUGACUUUUCAGUUAAAAGCAAAUUCGGGCUUGCAACAACUGCAGCUCUUCAAGGCUUCGAUGAUACAGACACCAAGGUAGAGAUCUUCCACGAAUUGAUUGAAGGCAGUCCACAUUUAAGCUUAACUGUAAGAUGUCCAGAGGAAAAUUUUUUGCUGGAUUGCCUGAAGGUCAAUAAAUUAUAGAAUUUCAGACAUUCUUUUAAGGGCUCCAGUGUAACAAUAUCCUGAGGACAAAAGAAAAUGCGUUUGGGAUAGAGAAACAAACCCAGUGUUACACUGGUGGGGCAUCCUUAGUUUUACUAUUAUUGUUGUUGUUGUUGUUGUUGUUGUACCUUCUU